UUAAAUUGAAGAGUUUGAUCAUGGCUCAGAUUGAACGCUGGCGGCAGGCCUAACACAUGCAAGUCGAACGGUAACAGGAAGCAGCUUGCUGCUUCGCUGACGAGUGGCGGACGGGUGAGUAAUGUCUGGGAAACUGG
rnacentral:rRNA from 1 species